GCCAGGGUGGCCGAGCGGUUCUAGGCACUACGGUCUGGAACCACGCGACCGGUCGCAGGUUCGAAUCCUGCCUCUGGCA